rnacentral:rRNA from 1 species
GAUGAACGCUGGCGGUCUGCUUAACACAUGCAAGUCGAACGGAAUCCUUCGGGAUUUAGUGGCGGACGGGUGAGUAACGCGUGAGAAUCUGCCUUCAGGUUCGGGACAACAGCUGGAAACGGCUGCUAAUACCGGAUGUGCCGAGAGGUGAAAGCUUUAGUGCCUGAAGAUGAGCUCGCGUCUGAUUAGCUAGUAGGAGUGGUAAUGGCACCCCUAGGCGACGAUCAGUAGCUGGUCCGAGAGGAUGAUCAGCCACACUGGGACUGAGACACGGCCCAGACUCCUACGGGAGGCAGCAGUGGGGAAUUUUCCGCAAUGGGCGCAAGCCUGACGGAGCAAGACCGCGUGGGGGAAGAAGGUCUGUGGAUUGUAGACCUCUUUUGAUGGGGAAGAAGACAGUGACGGUACCCAUCGAAUCAGCCUCGGCUAACUCCGUGCCAGCAGCCGCCGUAA